UACGUAGGGUGCAAGCGUUGUUCGGAUUCACUGGGCUUAAAGGGCGCGUAGGCGGGUCGCUAAGUCCGGGGUGAAAGCCCCCAGCUUAACUGGGGAAGUGCCUCGGAUACUGGCGGCCUCGAGGGGGAUAGGGGCCCGCGGAACUUCGGGUGGAGCGGUGAAAUGCGUUGAUAUCCGAAGGAACGCCGGUGGCGAAAGCGGCGGGCUGGAUCCCUUCUGACGCUGAGGCGCGAAAGCCAGGGGAGCAAACGGG
rnacentral:rRNA from 1 species